GCUCUCUCUCCAUCCUCUGUGUUUUUAUGUAUGAAUGCAGGGAAAUUGUUCAAGUGCAGAGGAAACUGGUGAAACAGACAGUCUCCUACCUCCUGUCCCUAAGUUUCUACUGCCUCAUGGAUACUUGGACUUGGGGUUAAGAGCGGGGAGAAGCAGCAGCUGGACAUGUUACCCCUGCACCACUCAGAGAAUUCUCCACACAUUGAUGAGGAAGCCGUGUCGAAUCGUGACCCCGUACAUGUGGACUCACCCACCUCACAGUGAAGUUUGCCGCGUACAGUAGUGGAAAUGGGGACAAAAUGUUUAUUUCAAGCUGAUUUUGUGCCAAUAAAUAAAGUAAAUCAAUAGCCA